ACCUAUGCAUAUCAUUAUGAUUAAUAAGAACAUGACUUGGUAAAAAGGAAGUGAUCAAGGGCACAACUUGCCUUCAAUGAGCUCCUGCUCAGCAACUUCUAUCUGAUAAACUCCAGGAUCCUUAGUAGCUUGCUCGUCUACUCGCAUCAACACAAUACAUACAUAGUAUAACAAAAAUUAACAUCACACCAAACAUGUAAGUAAAAUGCAAAAUAAUAAUCUAGACAUUAAAAUAAGAUCAUAGGAACUGGAAUCAUUAAAUUUGAAGUUAUAGAUUUUAAGUUAUGAAUUUUCCAAGGGUUUAUGUAUUUAAUACAAGAUUAAGUAAUAGAUAAAUUUUACUGAGUCUUUCAUGCCAAAAGAGAGGCACUAAUGGAUAAACAAUAAUAUUACAAAAUUUUAGGAACUGGAAUGGACCAAUUUGGAGUUCAUAUGAAUUUUAUAUGAAUUUAGCAAGUUUCUAGCUAUUAUUUAUACAUUAAAAAUCUAUUUCUAUUUUAUUUUAUCUGAUUUUCGAGUUUUCUGGACUGGGCCUCAAAUACAGAGAAGUGCAGGGGCUAGCUGGUAAAUUAUCCUAGCUCAGUGAACAAUACCCCCAGGACGGCGGGUUGAUUCUCGCAUAGUCCAGGGACGUAUCUGCAAACCCGCCUCGACGAAGGGGUAUUCCAGGAUCUCAACCGCCAGAUCAUAAACCUACGAUCAGGAUAAUAUUGGAUUCCUAAGAACUCGGCCACAACCCACAACCGCACGAUCUAGUACCUACUGUUUACAUUGUAAUGGAUCACGAAGGGUUGUUAUGCGUACGAUGCGUAUCCAACGGUGUGGAUACUAGUGCUGGAUUGCCCACGCGAGAUUAGUUCGCACGCGUUCAUCGAUAGAUCGACGACUAGUUCAAGGCUCCCGUCCCCGGUUCAUCCCCAAUCUCGACGGCAAGCUCACCGCGGCAGAGCGCCAUGCCCUGAACGCCUGCCCCGACCCCCAUGGUACAAUUCCUAGGUGCACUAGGCCCUAAAUGAAAUCGCGGCGUUUGCGAAGCAAAGGGUGGGGCCAUACCGUGAUUUGAAGACGCACUAAAUCCCAACGCCGAGCACCAAGACUCACGGCAGAAUGCAGCCUUCCGGUGGAAAAUCCGUUGGUGCUGGACGCACCCAACCCUAUGCCGAUGCCGCGGAAACAAUCGCCGAGCCGAGGCGAAGCUCCCUGACCAACCUGUUCCGAGCGGCACACUAAUCUCAGUGAAGUUCCACACUAGCCCACACUCAGCAGCAAUGGCGGCCGCAAUUUCUCUGUGAAGAGUUGACCUAUGAACGCAGGGAAAGGGGGGCGCGUUUGGCUUGACUAUAUAGACGUGGGGAGGACGCGUGCGUGUGAUCCACAGCCGCGCGACAACCCAGCGCCUGCCGCGCGGAUUCCGCGGAGCAGACGGGCGCGAGGAAGAUGGAGGCCUAACGUCUCGAGCCCGCGGUCAGUGAGCCGGUGCGUCGCCAGAGUCGUGGCCGCAAGCCAUCCGGGCCCACAGGUCAGUCGACCGCCCGUGGAUAUGGUAGUCGGGCCACGCGCGAGAGAAGGUAGAGUGGGCCGCAGCGACGGUUGGGGCCCAUGAGAGCUUCCUUCCAAUUUUCCUCUUUUUUUUCUUUUCUUUUUAUUUUCUAUUUUAUUUUUCAAAUUUAGAUCUUCCUUUUGGAUUUCAAAUCAAAUUUGCAUUUUAGUUAUGGACUUGCACAUAUAUCAAAUGUGCCAAAUUAAAUUUGGGGAUGAAUAGAAUAUAUUUAUGUAUAUAUUUAUUUCCUAUGUUUUAUGUGGUAUUUCUUUUCUUUCUUUACUUCUAAAUUCUAUAUCCUCUUUUAUAUUAUAAAUUCCACCUUGGGACUUCAAUAUAUUUCUUGUCUCAUUAUUUUUUUAUAUUGUCACAGAAUGAACACAAAAUAAAAUCUCGGCAUGAUGCAGGAUUUAGUAGCAUAUCUUUUAUUAAUUAUUUGUUUUCUUUAAAUAUGUUGUUCACUUGUAAGGGUAUGUAGAUACAACACACAUAUAUAAAUAAUGGAAAAUAAUUUUUCUCCUUUUAUAUUAUCUCUUACAAAUUGGGUAUUACAAAUCCUACCCCCUUAAAAAGAAUCUCGUCCUUGAGAUUUAGGAAGGACUAGGGAAGAGAUGGGGAAAAUCUAUGUGAAGCUCUUCUUCUCCCUCCCAAGUAGCUUCAUCUUCUCCAUGGUGACUCCAUUGCACUUUGCACAUCUUUAUCACCUUAUUUCAUGUAACUCGAGUCAAGGUGUCCAGAAUCUUGAUCGGAUAUUCCGUGUAGGUCAGAUCAUCCUGAACAUUAAGGUCCUCCAUUGGUAGCUGCUCCUCAGGUACCCUGAGGCACUUCUUCAAUUGUGUCACGUGGAAGACAUCAUGUACAUCCGCAAGAUGAUCGGGUAGUUUUAGUUGAUAUGCAACUUCUCCCACUCGCUUUAAGAUCAAGAAAGGUCCAAUGUAGCGAGGGGACAACUUUCCUUUAACUUUAAAUCUCCUCAUACCCCGGAUUGGUGACACCUUCAGAUACACGUGGUCACCCUCCUAAACUCCAGUAGUCUUCUCCGGGUAUCAGCAUAGCUCUUCUGUCUUGAUUGUGCAAUUCUCAAAUUCUCUCUUAUCAUUCGCACUUGUUCCUCUGCCUCUUGUAUAAGUUUAGGCCCAAAGAACUGCCUUUCUCCAGUCUGAUCCCAGUAUAGAGGAGUCCUGCACUUCCUGCCAUAUAAAGCCUCAAACGGUGACAUCUUCAAACUGGCCUAAUAACUAUUAUUGUAUGAGAACUCAGCAUAUGGUAAGCUCUUAUCCCAACUUCCACCAUGUUUAAGAGCACAAGCUCUUAACAUAUCCUCCAGCACUUGGUUAGUCCUCUCGGUCUGCCCAUCAGUUUGAGGAUGGUAGGUCGGCCUGAAAUUCAACUGUGUAUCCAAGCUCUCAUGCAACUUCUUCCAAAACCAAGAAGUAAACCACGAUCCUCGGUCUGACAUGAUCUUCUUAGGCACUCCAUGUAGACAAACUAUCCGAGUCAUAUACAAUUCUGCUAGCUUGGCUCCCGUGUAAUUAGUCCUCACCGGUAUGAAAUGAGCCACUUUUGUCAAUUUGUCCACAAUCACCCAAAUAGAGUCAUACCCAGCAGGGGUGCGGGGUAGUCCAACAAUGAAAUCCAUGCCUAUUUCUUUCCAUUUCCACUCGGGUACAAUAGUCCAGCUGGUCUUUGAUGUUCUGCCUUGACUCUUUGACACACAUCACACUUAGCCACGUGUGCAGCAACAUCUCUUUUCAGUCCAUACCACCAAUGCUUUUGCUUCAAAUCCUGAUACAUCUUAGUACUAGCAGGGUGGAUAGAGUAAUCAGAAUCAUGGGCUUCUUUCAAGAUAGUCUCACGAAGGCUAUCAAUCUCCGGAACACAUAUCCGAUCCUUGAACCAUACAGUGCCUUCCGCAUCCUCCGUGAAUUAUGGAGCUCUACCUUCAGUAAUCAGAUCCUUAAUCUCUUGAAUUUUAGCAUCACCAACCUGACCCUUACGAAUUUCUUGCUCCAAGGUAGGUUCCAAUUCAAUGGUAACUCCUUCAGUGUGUGUAAUAAUUCCUAGGUUGAGUCUCCUAAAGUCCUCAACAAUCUCAUCAGGUAGCUGGGCAACAAUAGUGGAAUGAACGUGCUCCUUCCGACUCAAGGCAUCUGCAACCAAAUUCGCCUUGCCCGGGUGAUAGUGAAUCUCCAAAUCAUAAUCCUUAAUGAGCUCCAACCAACGGCGUUGCCUAUGGUUGAGAUCCUUCUGAGUGAAUAUGUACUUUAAACUCUUAUGAUCCGUGUAUACUUGACACUUAGUUCCCAUAAUGUAAUGUCUCCAAAUCUUAAGCGCAUGUACAAUGGUUGUCAGUUCUAAGUCAUGAGUGGGGUAGUUUAAUUCAUGUUUCCGCAACUGACGAGACGCGUAGGCGAUCACAUGUCCUUCUUGCAUGAGCACACAUCCCAAUCCUUGGCCACAUGCAUCACAAUAAAUAUCAAAUCCCUUCUGUAGAUCUGGCAUAACCAACACUGGUGGUGACAUCAAUCUCUUCUUUAAUUGAUCAAAGCUUUCUUGACACUUCUUUUCCCACUUAAACUCUCGUCCCUUCUCCAGAAGCGAGGUCAUAGGCUUAGCAAUCUUAGAAAAUCCUUCAAUAAAUCUCCGAUAAAAUCCUGCAAGUCCCAAGAAACUUCGGAUCUUCGUAACUGUAGUGGGUAUGCUCCACGCCAUUAUCUCCUUAACUUUAGCAGGAUCCACUGAUAUCCCUCCAUUAGAAAUGAUAUGUCCAAGGAAUGGCACCUCAUCAAUCUAGAACUCGCACUUGUUAAACUUGGCGUAGAGUUGAUUAUCUCGUAGUUUCUGUAGCACCAAUCUCAGAUGUUCCUCAUGAUCACUAUCACUCUUGGAAUAAAUAAGAAUAUCGUUGAUGAAUACUACGACGAAUCUGUCCAAAUACUCCAUAAACACCUUAUUCAUCAAAUUUAUAAAAUAAGCUGGUGCAUUAGUUAAUCCAAACGACAUAAUAGUGAACUCAUAUAAUCCAUAUCGGGUUGAGAAAGUCGUCUUGGGCAUAUCCGAUGGCCUAAUCUUCAUUUGAUGGUAACCUAACCGGAGAUCAAUCUUCGAGAAUACCCUAGCACCUCUCAUCUGAUCAAAUAAAUCCUCAAUGCGGGGUAACGGAUACUUGUUCUUCAUAGUAACAUCAUUAAGUGAUCUAUAGUCCACACACAUCCGUUGCGAACCAUCCUUCUUCUGUACAAACAGUACUGGUGCUCCCCAAGGCGAGGAACUCGGACGAAUGUACCCAGCCUCUUGUAACUCCGUUAACUGCUUCUCAAGUUCUUUUAAUUCUUAUACGGACAUUCUGUAUGGCCCUUAGAAAUAGGAGCAGUCCAGGUAAGAGAUCAAUGACAAACUCCACUUCCCUCUCCGGUGGCAUCCCUAGUAACUCCUCUGGAAAGACAUCUGGAAAAUCCCUAACCACACGGAUGUUGUCACCAACAAACUCCUCAGCUAUAAAGAACAUCGCACGAUUGGAAGAGGUGGUUACUGCAAUUUGAACUUGAAAUCUUUCCCCUUUUGGGCUGGUGAGUUCUAUAGUACCCCUAUCACAUUGUAUAAUGGCCUUUGCCUUCCUUAACCAUGACAUACCGAGGAUCAGAUCUAUACUAUUUGCCUCUCAUAUUAUAGCUGUAGCCAAGAAUUCUCUUCCCAUAAUUGUUAAUGUCAACCUAUGUGUCAUGUGAUUUGCCUCAACAUGCCCCUUAGGUGUAAUUACUAUCAUUGGUUUUCUCAGAUUUAGGAGUGGUAUCUCAUUUGUGUUGGCAUAACGAGCAGACAUAAAUGAAUGCGUAGCACCAGAAUCAAAUAAUAUGGUUGCAGGAAUUGCAUUAAUGUAAAACAUACCAAGUGCGAUGUCAGCACCAUCAGGAGUAGCAUCUGCGCUGACUUGAUUAACUCUGGCAACAGAGUAUCCCUUGCCAGGAGUCUGUUGCUUGUUCUUAGCUGGUGUACCCGAAUUCCCCACCGAACAAGCAUUAGCAUAGUGCCCAAUCUGACUGCACUUGAAGCAUGUAGGUUCGGUCUUCUGUCCUGUAGGCCUCGUCGGGGUGCCAGUGGGAGCAGCCUGACGAGUGGGAGGUGUCCGUGGAGACCCCUGUGGAGCGUACUGAGCUGGGUAUGGUCCUCCUCCUGGACGAGUAGGUGUACCCUGUGGCGAAACAUAGCGAGGACAAACACUGCUGCUACCCUGCCCCUGUGAGAUACCUUCCUCUUCAAGUCUCCUAGUUGAACACGCUUGUGUUCAAUAGCAAGAGCCUUAUCCAGCAGCCUCUGAAAUGAUGGAAAUGUGUGAGCAACCAAUGCGUACUGUAGUGGCCCAUUGAAUCCUUCUAUGAAGUGCUCUUGCUUCCUUUCAUCAUCAACCACCUCAUCGGGAGCAUAUCUUGACAGCUGAAUGAAUUUGUCUCCGUACUCGCUGACAGACAUGUUGCCUUGCUUUAAUGACAAAAACUCCUUUUUCUUGAUCUUCAUCAAUCUAGCAGGAAUGUGGUAGUUUCUGAACUAUGUACUAAAUUCCGCCCAAGUAAUAGUGUCAUCAGCAUCAUGGGCAGCAACAUAAGAAUCCCACUAGUCAGCAGCAGGACCUGUCAGACAACCAGAAGCAUAAAGAACCUUCUCCCGGUCAGAGCAUUGGGCGAUGUUGAGCACCUUCUCAAUUGACUUCAGCCAAUCAUCAGCAUCUAGUGGGUCUGGCGAACUGGAGAUGGUCAGCGGCUUGUGACUCAUAAAUUCCCGGUGCUUGUCCUGGGGUGGAACUGGGGUGGUGGUGGAGGCAGUGGUGCUUGUUGCUAUUGCUGUUGCUGUUGCUGUUGCGCCCUUCUUUCUUGGCAUAUCUCCUCUCGUUCUUGGUGCAGCUCCUGGCGUAUAUCCUCUCUCUCUCCUGGCGCAUCUUCUGGUGUUCCUGCCGCAUAUGCGCGUGCAUAUCCGCCAUGGUAUCUGCCAUCUGUUGCAUCAUCCUCAUCUGAGCUACAACUGUUAGGUCAACUCCGACUGGUGGAGGCGGUGGUGGAGGAUCCAUCUCUGCUGGUUGUGGCUGGGGUUGUCUAAAUAUCCUCCGAGUGUGUCGAUUGGGAGGUAGAUCAAUUCCACCAACCUUCCUGGUAUUGACCAUCUAAGUUAGAAACAUAUGGUAAGAGAGAAUAGUAGACAAGGCAGGUAGUUACGAAUCAUGUUACUUUGGGGGAUUUAUUAGCUAAGCAGAUUAAUGUUUACCUACUAAAGCUAACUCAAUACCUUAUGGUGGUACAUGCUAAGAUGUCCAUUUAUAAUAUCUCAAUCAAUCAAUCAAAGAGCAAAUCAAACAUUUAUCAUCAGAACAAUCAACCAACAUUUUUAAAUAAAGAAAACAGUUUUAAUUUCAUCUUAGGUUCCCUAUCUCUUAAGAAUGUCAUUAAUGUAGGAUUCCAAGGUGUGAAAUCCAUCUUGUCUCAGAGUAGAAAAGAUAAGAGUAAUCAGAGUAGAACGGUAGAAGGUGAGACAUGAUCAAGAUAAGUAUAGAAAGAAUCAGAGUAAGGUAAGUAGGUAAGGGUUUUGUCUAUUUCUAUCUAGGUUUCGUCCUACAGUCAACAUUUCCUCUGAUACCACUUCUGUCACACCCAGGCUUUAAGGAACAAAGUCAGGUGCAUCUCAUAUAUGUGCCAUAGAAGACAACACAUAUAAUAACAGAGUGCAUAGAGAUAAAUGUCAUAAAUAUCAUAAAUGUAUUUAUUACAUAGCGGAAGUCGUACAAAAAUAUAUGAUAAAAUAAAGCAAACUAAUAUUAUUCCCUAGCGCCACAAAGCUCACUGGGAGACACCACCUAGAUCAAGUCGAAAGCCUCAGUGUUAGGCGGCUCCUCUUCGACCACCUGCUCUUCUCCUAUGGGGGUGUGAGACAUCAAGAGUGAGCUCACACAUGUUCAUCGCUCAACAAGUUGUGGGGAAUAAUGGGCAUGAACUCACCAAAGGUGGGAGCUAAUGUGAAGUGUAAGGCUAAUCAACAAAGUAAAGGUUCAAGCUGAGCAUUGCUUUUAUAAGUUGAUCAAAAUUUUAUUAGCAAUUACUAAGUGUAAGUAAAUACCAAACCAUAGUAAUAAGUAAAAGUAAUAAUAAAAUAAUCCCAAUGUGAUGCAAAUGACAAAUUGAAUUUAAUUCCAUAAUUUAAUCAUGUGAGUGUCCAAGCCACUCAUGACCGUGAGCACGGCUAGUAUACCAGUUUUACACUCUGCAGAGGUUUCACAUCUUUACCCACAAGUUGUGUUACCCAUUUGCCACAGAGUUGAUCAGACCCAUACACCUCUACCAAGGAAUUGAGGCAGGGUACCACUACGAGGCCUUUACAAAGUUCCACUAGCUUCAGAAAACCCGCUACAGUUUAUAGAAAGCUCAAGUGCAGGAAUCCCUCGCCUGACUGCCAUCGCAGCAAAAUCAAACCAAGGACCUCCCUACACUGACCACUCCCCUACUGCCCUUGCCCAUAUCGGGUAAGGUAGUCAUCCACUAGCUUUCCUAGUUAAUCAGCCAAGGGCGUCCCAUUAAACUCUUGUGGUAGCACUGUUUUCCCGGGUGGUUCUCCAUGUUCCCAUUAACAUAAUGAUCUUAUCAUGAACAAUAAAUAAUGAACAGAUAAUAAAAAGUGUAAUCAUGAGUAAUGAAUAUCUCUGUACCCAAAACCACAUAAAGCAAUAGCAUGUACUAGUAAAACCAGUGGUGAAACAAGGUAUAAAGAUAGUCAAAACCUAGGGUAACCUAUUGGGUCCCAUCAAAAUUAACCUAUGCAAAUCAUUAUGAUUAAUAAGAACAUGACUGGGUAAAAAUGAAGUGAUCAAGGGCACAACUUGCCUUCAUUGAGCUCCUGCUCAGCAACUUCUAUCUGCUGAACUCCAGGAUCCUCAGUAGCUUGCUCGUCUACUCGCAUCAACACAAUACAUACAUAGUAUAGCAAAAAUUAACAUCACACCAAACAUGUAAGUAAAAUACACAAUAAUAAUCUAGACAU
rnacentral:lncRNA from 1 species